CAGGAACUGCCCACAAAUCAAGUUUCUCUGCUCGGCGAUUGGAGGACGCGGUUGGCCCACCCAUCCUUGAGGCUCCGCUAAUCCCAAGCCCUGGGCCUGCCUUUUUUUCCGCUACCAGCAGCCCCGGAGCCGGAAGCAGGAGCGGUGUUCUGGGACCCGGCGGCGGCGGCGGUAGCUUCUGCUGUUAAUUUCACCGGCCAGGCUGCUUCCUCUGAGGGAGGAUUUUCCUGUCACCACCUCAAGGCCUGGUCCUGUGUCUGCUCCGGCCGAGUCUGGAGGAACGGCCGGCGGCGCCGGGAAUGCGUCAAAGGGCGGGGCACAGUUCAAAGGGCAGAAUUGUUGCUGGAAGUUCGAAUUGCCGAGUUCUGGUCCUUGGACUCUUCAACAGAAGUUGCUAAAAGGCCAGAUGAGGAAUUCAGGCAAGGACUGAAUUACUGGGACUCCAGCUGCAGAAGGAGGGAGUGAAAACAAGUAACAGGCAGAGCCAGAGGUGAGAAAGCAGUGCUGGAGCUCAGGCCACCAGGCUGCCCUGCAGCUCUGUCUCCUGAUGGUACAGAAGAGUUGAGAAUCAUGGCUUCCUCACUCCAGCUCCAGACUUCAUGCAUCUUCCUCUUCUCAAGAAUUCUAACUCAGAAUCACUAACAGAAGGACUCUGGAUAUACAGUUUCCCACCUUACCCAAGAUGACAACACAGUUCAGUAGAAUCUAGACAGCAGCUUUCAUCUCCAUGCCAACAACUCAUUCUUCUUAACUCAGUGUUUUGUGUCCAAUUUCUAACUGAGGUCAAGGACAAUGAGCAGAGGCCAAAUUACAAACAUUACCAGGCAAGACAGAAGGUCUUUCAAGACCUUCCACAAUUACUGACCACCUUUCCUGCCUCUUGAAAAACCUAUAUGCAGGUCAGGAAGCAACAGUUAGAACUGGACAUGGAACAACAGGCUGGCUCCAAAUAGGAGAAGGAGCAUGUCAAGGCUGUAUAUUGU